UACGUGGGCAGCGAGCGUUGUUCGGAGUUACUGGGCGUAAAGAGUGCGUAGGCGGUUUUCUAAGUUUGGUGUGAAAUCCCCGGGCUUAACCUGGGAAUUGCGUUGGAGACUGCAAGGCUGGAAUCUGGCAGAGGGGGGUAGAAUUCCACGUGUAGCAGUGAAAUGCGCAGAUAUCGGGAGGAACACCAAUGGCGAAGGCAGCUUGCUGGGACGGUACUGACGCUGAGGCGCGAAAGCGUGGGGAGCAAACAGG
rnacentral:rRNA from 1 species